rnacentral:lncRNA from 1 species
GGUUUGUGGUAUAUUGACUACAGUGCAGGAGCACUUCUCACUGCAGAGCACUGAUUAAAACAUCAUGCAGUUUGUCUGCAUCACUUGUUUUCUCUUCACUUCUACCUUGACUUUAGGAUGGGCAAGAAGUGUAGACCUUCAGCUCACAGAACCACAAACACCCAGCCUUUCCAUGAUGAACAUGUGCACCGAUUGCAAGAAGAUUGUACAGUUGUUGACAGAAAUCCUCUCCAAUCAAGACUCACAGCAUCUCAUUGAAAAAGCUCUGGACACGUUUUGCUAUGAACACCCCGUCAUCCCUUUGUGUAUGGAUGGAGCAAAGACAUACGUACAUGUGAUCAUCAGACAUUUCAGUGCAUUUGCAAAUCAAAAUGGUGACAUAUGUACAGUGUUGAGACUGUGUGGCAGCCAGUCUAAUAAGAGAAAAGCAC